GACGAACGCUGGCGGCGUGCCUAAUACAUGCAAGUAGAACGCAGUUGCGAACGGGUGAGUAACGCGUAGGUAACUGCCUCAUUGCGGGGGAUAACUAUUGGAAACGAUAGCUAAUACCGCCUACUUUGCGAUGGACCUGCGUUGUAUUAGCUAGUUGGUGGGGUAAAGGCUCACCAAGGCGACGAUACAUAGCCGACCUGAGAGGGAGAUCGGCCCCACUGGGACUGGGAAACGGCCCAGAAUCCUAACGGAGGCAGCAGUAGGGAAAUAUCGGCAAUGGAGGGAAGGCUGAAUGAGCAAAUGCGCGGGGGUGAAGAAGGGUUUCGGAGCGUAAAGCUCUGUUGUGAGAGAAGCGGUAACUAAACAAAAAGGGACGGCUAACUACGUGCCAGCAGCCGCGGUAAUUC
rnacentral:rRNA from 1 species